AGGACGAACGCUGGCGGCGUGCUUAACACAUGCAAGUCGAACGGUAAGGCCCUUCGGGGUACACGAGUGGCGAACGGGUGAGUAACACGUGGGUGAUCUGCCCUGCACUUUGGGAUAAGCCUGGGAAACUGGGUCUAAUACCGAAUAUGACCUCGAGAUGCAUGUCUUGGGGUGGAAAGCUUUUGCGGUGUGGGAUGGGCCCGCGGCCUAUCAGCUUGUUGGUGGGGUGAUGGCCUACCAAGGCGACGACGGGUAGCCGGCCUGAGAGGGUGUCCGGCCACACUGGGACUGAGAUACGGCCCAGACUCCUACGGGAGGCAGCAGUGGGGAAUAUUGCACAAUGGGCGCAAGCCUGAUGCAGCGACGCCGCGUGAGGGACGACGGCCUUCGGGUUGUAAACCUCUUUCAGCACAGACGAAGCGCAAGUGACGGUAUGUGCAGAAGAAGGACCGGCCAACUACGUGCCAGCAGCCGC
rnacentral:rRNA from 1 species